GAAAGUUUGUUUUCUUAAGUCAUAUUCCAAAAACAUAACUCCAAGGCAUACGCAUGAUAAAAUGCAAGAAUAAACUUUUGGCCACUUUGUGGAACUCUUAAAAGAACCUUUCCAGCCGGGCGCAGUGGCUCAUGCCUGUAAUCCCAGCACUUUGGGAGGCCGAGGCAGGCAGAUGACUUGAGGUCAGGAGUUCGAGACCAGCCUGGCCAACGUGGCAAAACCCCAUCUCUACUAAAAAUAAGAAAAUUAGCCGGGUGUAGUGGCACAUGCCUGUAAUCCCAGCUACUCAGGAGGCUGAGGCAGGAGAAUCGCUUGAGCCCAGGAGGCAGAGAUUGCAGUGAGCCAAGAUCGCACCACUGCACUCCAGCCUCGGUGACAGAGCAAGACUCCAUCUCAAAAAAAAAAAAAAAAAAAAAACCUUUCCUCUGAGCCCAUCUUCCUUUCGCUCCUUGACUUUCCUUGACUUGCUGUUGGAAAGUCUAAUAUGAAAAGGGCUGAAACUAGGCAUUAAAUAUAACUGAUGCUCAAAGGUAAGAUUUCCAUCCAACAGAUUCCUUCUCCCUCCCAAGGGUCUUCCCAGGCAGUGCUGCUACUUAUCCCAAAUAAAAUGGUAAAAGAAUAAAGACAGCCGGGCGCGGUGGCUCACGCCUGUAAUCCCAGCACUUUGGGAGGCCGAGGCGGACGGAUCACAAGGUCAGGAGAUCGAGACCAUCCUGGCUAACACGGUGAAACCCCGUCUCUACUAAAAAUACAAAAAAAAAAUUAGCCGGGCGCGGUGGCGGGCGCCUGUAGUCCCAGCUACUCGGGAGGCUGAGGCAGGAGAAUGGCGUGAACCCAGGAAGCGGAGCUUGCAGUGAGCCGAGAUCGCGCCACUGCACUCCAGCCUGGGCGACAGAGCGAGACUCAUCUCAAAAAGAAAAAAAAAAAAGAAUAAAGACAGAGUUUGACUUUCCCACCUGCGAACAAGUGGACUGUACUGCUUUGCCCACAGUCUCCAUUCCCCAUUCAUGCUGUUUUCACAGCCCAGUAAUGGCCAACUGCUCAGCACCUGUGUGCCCUGCUGUCAGGCAGGUGGGACCCACAGUCCUCUGGGCCUAAACUGCUGAAGCCUGCACCACAAGGCGGGCACGGCAUUCCAACACCUCUUCAGGCUCAACAGCCUUUAGAGGCUACACUGAGUCCUCUUUUUCAUGCUCUUCCUGGUUUUCAAGUGUCAAUUAAAAUUUGUCUUCAGAAGAAACUUGAAAAUAAGUAUCUGAUGCCGUCAUCAGGAUAGACUAGUAUUAGCUUUCGCAGCUGAAGUUAUUGCUCUCCCAGCCCUAAUAAUAACUUACCAAGUGCUUAUUAUUUAUCAGGCACUGGUCCAAGUCCUUCAAUCAGAUUGUCUCACCUGAUCCUCCCAACAGCCCUAGGAAGCAGGUCUUACUACACUCCCCAUUUCACAGGGACUGGGGCUUGGGGAGGUGAUGCGGUUUCCUGGGUCACUCCAUUACUGAGUAGUGAGACAGGAUUCAGACGCAAGCUUUGAAAAUGUUCUAAUUUUCUUUAGAAGGAAGGGCCCUUCUUAAUAGCACACUGAAUAAAAUCAAAUGAAUAAUCACACAUUACAAGAUGCCUCCUAUACGUCUCUAUAUUUAGCUACUUACAUACCAGGUUUCUUUUUUGUUUGUUUUUGUUUUUAAGACAGAGUCUCGCUCUGUCACCCAGGCUGGAGUGCGGUGGCGCGAUCUCGGCUCACUGCAAUCUCUGCCUCCCAGGUUCAAGCGACUCUCCCGCCUCAGCCUCUGCAGUAGCUUAGGGACUACAGGUGUGAGCCACCGUGCCCGGCCUACACACCAGCUUUCUAUUCACCUACACACAACUGAUGCUCUUUUGGAGUGGAGAGUUUUAGUAAAAUAUGAUGGGGUCUUCAGGCACCUGAGUUGCUACUUACUACUAUGAGAAGAUAGAAAAUGUUUUUUCCUCUAAACAGCUUUUGAAAGAAUGAAUGCACAACAAGGCAAAAAAUAAAAACUUUCUUUUCCUUUUCUACGAUCAAUGUUCAACAACUCGUUCCUUCCAAUUUGUAACAGAGUUGAAGCUGAAACAGACAAAAAAUAGUAAUAGCUGCUCCCAUUUAAAGAAAAAUGCUUGAGGAAACAGCUGUAUAAAUCAAGAAACAAUACCAAGCAGAUGACGAAACUGAUCUCUUCUUGAGAACAAUACGAUGUGAAAAGAAGCUGUUGUUUCUCCAAAUAUAUGGUUUGGGGUUCAUUUUAUAAAGUACUCUGGAUUUCAGGUCCUAUAAGAUGCCACUUAAUUGAAGCUUUGCAAAGAAAUAAUUAUUUUACACCAGAACUUCACCUGUUUCAACCCUGUACCUACAACCUCCCUGGGCGAAGGUUACUGAGAGUCCUAAUGACCAGCACCUUCAUGGAGACCUUGGUGUUUCUUCAAAAAAGAAAAAAAAAGCCUAGAAAAAGAAAGGUAGAUGACAGAUAGAGACAGACAGAGAGAGACUGGGGACCAACUAGGAGCACAACUGUUACUUUUCAACCCAGAGUCCAUUUGAACAAGUCCUUCUUUCAGUGCAGAAAGCACUGCCCUGCCCCCGAAAUCCACUCAGGUUCUCCCCUGAACCCCAAGCCUGAGGUUUAGAUUUUGACGGAUUAGGAAGAGCUGACUCCGCAG
rnacentral:lncRNA from 1 species